rnacentral:ncRNA from 2 species
GGUUGGCCCCGUGAGGGGUUUCAAGAUCCGAUUACUUGGGUGGGUAGUC